CCUACGGGUGACAGCAGUGAGGAAUAUUGGUCAAUGGACGGAAGUCUGAACCAGCCAAGCCGCGUGAAGGAUGACGGCUCUGUGAGUUGUAAACUGCUUUUGUACGGGAAUAAUAGUUCUUACGUGUAGGCGUUUGAAUGUAUCGUACGAAUAAGGAUCGGCUAACUCCGUGCCAGCAGCCGCGGUAAUACGGAGAAUUCGAGCGUUAUCCGGAUUUAUUGGGUUUAUAGGGUGCGUAGGCUGUCGGAUAAGUUAGCGGGCAAAUGUCGGGGCUUAACCCCGGGCCUGCCGCUGAUACUGUCAGACUAGAGAGCGGAUGAAGCAGGCGGAAUGCGUAGUGUAGCGGUGAAAUGCUUAGAUAUUACUCAGAACACCGAUUGCGCAGGCAGCUUGCUAAGCCGAAUCUGACGCUGAUGCACGAAAGCGUGGGUAGCGAACAGGAUUAGAUACCCCUGUAGUC
rnacentral:rRNA from 1 species